CGGGGCGGCGUGAGCUCCUCUUUCAGCGGCUGGAGCUGUCCAGAUUGGCUUCCUGGGCGGAGGCAGAGGCAAGGGAAGGGUUCAAGGCAGGGGGAGCAUUUCCCUCCGUGGAGAGUCCCGUGCCGGGAGGUGGAAGAGCAGGCGGAGGCGGGACCUGCGAGAAGCCCGCUUUCUGCAGCCGAAGAGAUGAGAUGGGCCGGUGCCGAAGUGGCUUCAACCGAGGGGAGACGGGACUGCCGCUUGGCAUGCGCAGCCAGUGUCUUCUUUGAGCUUGGCUUGGGCGGCGGCUGCUGCUGCUGGGCAGGAGCUUGCCCGAGGCAGAGCACCCGCCUUGCACUUGGGAGGUCCCGGUUCGAUCCCAGGCAGCAUCUCUGGGAAAGCGCAGCAUAUAGUCUAUUUAGGCUGUAUCGCAUAUAAUCUGCUAUAUGUUAAUACCCAGAAUGCUCCAACCUCAUAUAGAAAGUCACACAGAUCUGACUUGUUUCCUUGGAUGACAAGUGAAAACAAAGUUGCCUUAUGGAACACAAAGGGCAGGCAGAAGAUCCACGAUCUCUUGUUACCAAGAAUGACGACUUCCUUGGAAACUCAGGCAACCCCUCUCACCCAUUUUUGUACUUUGCACCCAUUAUCAAACAGGGACUUUUUCAUCUGUGUAUAGUCUCGUCUCAUUUUUCCCCAAGCAGCCAUUUCCACAUCCCUUAUCCAUGGCUGUGCAGGGGGGAGGCCCCUAGAAACACAACAUGUAAAUAUCAAAAUGCUCUUACCUAAAACAGGCAUGUGCCAAAUAAUCCAGGCCUCAUGAGCAGCUCUUUUGAGUUUCAGACUGCUCACAAAUACAUUCAUUGCCCACAUCACAGAUCCUGUUUCUAUAGAAACCAUCACAAAUGCUGCUUCUAUUAUAUAAGACAUUGUUAGCCUGACUUAUUGAAACAUUUCCACAUAGGUUUUUUUUAAGUAAACGGUGAAGAGCGUAAUAAAAACAUUAAAAUAGGAAAUAAAGUGAAGAUCACCAGGCAUAUUAAAAUGUUUAGCAUUGCAGUAAAAUCAAGCUAGUACAAUCAGUUUAAAUUUCCACUGCCAUUUCCCUUCCUAUCUGUGCAGUCAACGCCAUCUAUCUGCACAGGCUUCACUAGCAAUCUCCGAGGACUCCUGGUUUUUGAUGCCUUUUCUUAGUGAGUGCAUGUGGGCGGCCAUCACAUUUUCCUCCAUUAAGCCUUUCUAUCUAUGCAAGUUGGAGUUUUCUAAUGACAAACACCACAAGAACACGGAGGGAACUUUUUCUGCUGAGCGUUGGCCAUUAGGUUAGGUCAAAUGACGAUGAGAUCAUAUUAUACAAAUAUACAAGCUGUGAAAGCCAGCAAUUCAUAAUUCUUGCUUUUUCAUAGCUUUGAGCUAUACUAGGCUAUAGCUCUGUUGACUUUUCUCUUCAUUUAUUCUAGCCAACACCCUGGCUAUAGUUUUUGAUUUUUCUUUCAAUUCUUUUUCAUUGAAUCUCCUAAGUUUUAUCUUUUAUACUGCUGAGACUGAUUUGAAGUCUGAUUCAUAGGACUGGCCAGAUGCCUUCUGAACAUUUAAAUAUCGUUAAACUUUUUAAGAUUAGCUUUUCUACCUUAUUCUUUUGUAACUCAAAUAAAAUGUUAAUUGGA